rnacentral:rRNA from 1 species
GUCUACGGCCAUACCACCCUGAACACGCCCGAUCUCGUCUGAUCUCAGAAGCUAAACAGGGUCGGGCCUGGUUAGUACUUGGAUGGGAGAAAUUAAUAUAUUCU